UUGAACGCUGGCGGAAUGCUUUACACAUGCAAGUCGGGCGGCAGCGCGGGGGCAACCCUGGCGGCGAGCGGCGAACGGGUGAGUAACAUAUCGGAACGUACCCAGACGUGGGGGACAACUAGUCGAAAGACUAGCUAAUACCGCAUACGUCCUGAGGGAGAAAGCGGGGGAUCGCAAGACCUCGCGCGUUUGGAGCGGCCGAUAUCUGAUUAGCUAGAUGGUGGGGUAAAGGCCCACCAUGGCGACGAUCAGUAGCUGGUCUGAGAGGGUGAUCAGCCACACUGGAACUGAGACACGGUCCAGACUCCUACGGGAGGCAGCAGUGGGGAAUUUUGGACAAUGGGGGAAACCCUGAUCCAGCCACUCCGCGUGAGUGAAGAAGGCCUUCGGGUUGUAAAGCUCUUUCGGCAGGAACGAAACGGCGUAAUCUAAUACAUUCCACUAAUGACGGUACCUGAAGAAGAAGCACCGGCUAACUACGU
rnacentral:rRNA from 1 species